rnacentral:lncRNA from 12 species
UCUUUGCUUGCUGAGGAUCCGUCUUUUUGAGUACCAGGCUUUGAACAUUCCUGAGUGAGGGUAGGGAGCCACUCAUAAAAGCUUUGUGGAUGAGCUGAUGGUUGACUGUAGACCAUGUGUGGAGAGUUAGGAUGGGUUUGAGUGCACAUGUCAAGGAGUAGAUCUCAUGUUCGCUCCACUCCCUAUCCUAACCCAGAACAAUAAAACCCCAGCCCCAGUUCUCCAUGGCCCCCAUCUUUAUCUUGUUUUUCUCUCUGUAGCAGCAUGAGCUGUCCACUCCAUGCCCUUUGCAGGAGAGGUUAGGGGCUUUUUGCUAGCUGAGAGGUCACCAUGCUGGUGAGGGAGACUCUGGAUGGAACUGACCCCGUCCUUCCCCCCAGGAGACCCUGCCAGUAUUAUCCAGGCUGCUACUUUCAUUAGUAAGGUCCUUCCCUCUUAAUAGGGGAAGACUGCAGUGAAUGUGAUGACAGCCCUGCUUCUUCUCUUCUGGGCCUGCCUUCCAUAUUAGCUACACCAUUCCUCCCACCAGGGAUUCCCCCAGGCCGAUCAGGAGACCCUCCACUAUAUCCCCUUGGCCUCCAAGCCCCUCUCACUGAUUUCCUCCAUCAGCCACCCCUGAUCCUUGUUACCCACCCCCAACCUCCACCAUUUAACCCACUCUCCUAGAAGAGCCAUCACCAAUUUCCAUUAGCCCUUCUUGCCUCCUCUCUUCUUUCUUUCUAAUCAUCUCACAGAACUCCCUUCCCUCUGACCUCUUCCUCCAACCCCACAGACAUCCCCUGGCCAGUCCGGAGGACCCUGCAGUCAAAUUCCACGGGAAGAGGGCUCCAGCUCCAUUUCUGGAUACGCCGCCCUCGGGCCCACCACUCUUCCGGGCAGGGCUGGACAUCCUCCGCGAGGUGCCUGGGGCAGGGGCUGGGGGUCGGGCUGGGUUCCAGACAGGAAGGAGGCGUGGACUUCAAUCUGGAAGGUCUCUGUAGGCCUUUCCCCCUCCCCUUAGCAAGUCUGGGAACUCGGCCCGAGCCCGGUCCCCUCUCCCCCGCCCUCGCCUCUCCGCGCUUUCAUCAGAAUUCAAUUUCCGCCGGA